rnacentral:rRNA from 1 species
UCAGGACGAACGCUGGCGGCGUGCCUAAUACAUGCAAGUCGAACGGUCUUUCUAUAGAAGCUUGCUUCCACUGAGAAGAUAGUGGCGAACGGGUGAGUAACACGUGGGUAACCUGCCCAUAAGAGGGGGAUAACAUCCGGAAACGGGUGCUAAUACCGCAUAGUUUUCUUGAUCGCAUGAUCGGGAAAGGAAAGACGGCCUUUGUGCUGUCGCUUAUGGAUGGACCCGCGGCGUAUUAGUUAGUUGGUGAGGUAACGGCUCACCAAGACGAUGAUACGUAGCCGACCUGAGAGGGUGAUCGGCCACAUUGGGACUGAGACACGGCCCAAACUCCUACGGGAGGCAGCAGUAGGGAAUCUUCCGCAAUGGACGAAAGUCUGACGGAGCAACGCCGCGUGAGUGAAGAAAAGGUUUUCGGAUCGUAAAACUCUGUUGUCAGAGAAGAACAAGUUGGAGAGUAACUGCUCCAGCCUUGACGGUAUCUGACCAGAAAGCCACGGCUAACUACGUGCCAGCCGCCGC